UUUUUGUAUUUCUGCACAGCCUGUCAGGGAAUAAAAUUGGAAGUGAAGGGGCAAAACAUCUGUCUGAGGCCCUAAAGAGUCCAAACAAUAACUUACAGCAGCUACACCUCUCAAAUAAUAAAAUUGGAAGUGAAGGGGCAAAACAUCUGUCUGAGGCCCUAAAGAGUCCAAACAAUAACUUACAGCAGCUAGACCUCUCAGGUAAUAAAAUUGGAAGUGAAGGGGCAAAACAUCUGUCUGAGGCCCUAAAGAGUCCAAAGAAUAACUUACAGG